AGAGUGGCAGCCUCCUCACCCAAUCAUAGAUGAGCGACUGGAGAUCUGCACAGCCCCCGGAGAUAAUUGGAACCAAGAGGUGGGACCAGGAGAUGAGUUAAAAAAUACCGCAAACAUUUAAAAAAGGUUCCAGCAUCCUAUGGGUUCUCCUCCUGAGAUUCUUCAGUGGAUCUGGCAACUUCAAAGUUGUCCUCCCAAGACUCCUAGAUGGAACUGGUGGCAUGUGGACAGUCUGCUAGAACUCUUGUGUUCAUCCGGAGACAUCCCUUUGAGAGAGGUGUACUGUCAUGGUGUGAAAUACUUUAUGUUCAUGUUAUGGAUCAACUCCAUUUUUUUUUAAAUCUAUUUUUGUUUUGUUGAUUCGGGCUCUAAUUGAGCUGGAGUUUUUGUCUACCUUUUGGUAAUCUGGUUUCUGUUGUGCAAUUUUUUCUGUUUACUUCCUGUUUUUCUGUCACACCUGUCACUGCUAGUUCCCACUUGUGUGUUUGGUCAUGCUGUUUAGUUGUUCAAGCCACCUGGUCCCUAUUCAGUAAUCACUCCUCCCUAUGUAUAUAACUUCCAGGUCUUUUUAUUAUCUUGUCAGAUUGGCCUCUUUUUCUUCAUUCUCUAUGCCAGCUUGUCUCUUGUUUGUCUUCUAGUUGUUUCCUGUUAGUCUAUUUGUAAAUCUUGUGAUUUUCAGUUCAAUAAAAGUCAGUAUUUAUUUCA